AUGAAGGUGUCGCCAAGAGGUAAGGCACGGGACUUUGACUCCCGUAUCCGCCGGUUCGAAUCCGGACAUCCAUGCCA
rnacentral:tRNA from 1 species